GGGCAUGUAGUGUAGGGGUUAUCGCGCCUCAUUUGCAAGUUUGCGGUGAAGCAAGCUACGAUUUGAGGAGGUCCUGAGUUCAAUUCUCAGCUUGUCCA
rnacentral:tRNA from 1 species